rnacentral:tRNA from 1 species
CCUUCGAUAGCUCAGCUGGUAGAGCGGAGGACUGUAGCUUGUGGUGCCGUGGUAGUGAUCCUUAGGUCGCUGGUUCGAUUCCGGCUCGAGGGA